UACGUAGGGUGCAAGCGUUAAUCGGAAUUACUGGGCGUAAAGCGUGCGCAGGCGGUUUUGUAAGUCAGAUGUGAAAUCCCCGGGCUCAACCUGGGAACUGCAUUUGUGACUGCAUAGCUGGAGUGCGGCAGAGGGGGAUGGAAUUCCGCGUGUAGCAGUGAAAUGCGUAGAUAUGCGGAGGAACACCGAUGGCGAAGGCAAUCCCCUGGGCCUGCACUGACGCUCAUGCACGAAAGCGUGGGGAGCAAACAGG
rnacentral:rRNA from 1 species